GUUAGAUGACUUACGGUUUCUGCUUUGGAUCACUAUCAUGAAUUUAACAUUAAACAAUAGCAUCAAACACUAAUUGAGUGCAUGUCAAGUCUACUUUUACUCCUCUUUCACUCCAAAAUGUUAACUUCAUUUAUGUAUGUAUGAACUUGGAGAUUACAAUUUAAGUUAAUUGCAAAUUCCAUAUAGAUUUAACUGAGUAAAAGAUAUUUUUGACUUCACAUAUUCAAGUAUCUACUGUAUUUGGUGCCCACAUGUAGUCUGCAUGUAUGAACUUAAGUACUGUGAUUGGCAACUUUUUCACUGUAUGCAUAUGCAAGCCUAAUUGGUUACACCUGGAUUUAUUUGCAUACAGCUGGCUAUUAAGUGACAGUCUGUAUACUUCAGUUGAUAUUGUGGACAUCUACGAAUCCAUCCGUGAACGAAGGCGUCACGACAGUGAAAGAUCUACUUGUAGCACCUUGGAACGGAACGACAUAGAAGCAGUUGAGACCCUUGUUUGUAUGAGCUCCUGGGGUCAAAGAUCACAGAAGGGUGACCCAUUAAAAAUAAGACCUCUUACACCUGUUUCAGAUUCUGGGGAUUUUGCAGUGCAGAAUGAACCCACAUCUGAGAUGCCCAAGGAUUAUAACUUUUUAUCCACACUGUGCAUGACACCACCAUACAGUCCAGAUUUUGUUGAGCCUUCCACGGGAGCACCGCCUUCCUCUCAAGCUACUUAUUCAAAAUCUAGGGCAAUCAAGGCAAAUGUACCUGCCAGCUUAGUCACUCCUCCAGGUUGUACUCUUGCUGCAACCCAGCCAUCUGUUCUGAACAUGGAGAAGCAAUCCAGCCAGAUGCCAGCAAGGACCGAGCAACCUGUUCCUCUGCUUUGCAGAGCCAUGGCAACUAGUGUGAUCCGUCACACAGGCAACAGUUCUGGUUACUCUCGCAUUCCUGGUGUGCAAGUGAAACCAGAAGUUUCAUUGGGCAACGGUGGGUCUGCAGACUGGCUGGAGGCCCAAGGCCAGCAACAUUCCAGAGCUUCGCGGGAUUGCUAUAUUGCAGAGAACUUAACUUGUGACACUUCACUUGCACACAAAUCUUCCUUGCACGACUCAGGUUGCUCUAGAACUGCCAAUAAAGGAUGUGAAAUUUCAAGGCUUGCUUUGCAGCAGGCUGUUUACCCAAAGAAUUGUGAGAAUGAUAUGCAGCAAAAGACCAGCCCCCUUCUACCCUCCCCUGUCUCAAAUCCACAGGUGAUCUGUCAAAUGAUCCCCUUGGAUGGACCAAGAGGUAUGGUCCCUGCCCUAUUAAAACCUUCUACUCAAACUGCAGCAACAGUCAAACCUAUCUUACCCCACACAGCUCCAGUUUCUCAGCCUGUCCUGAUGGGACCUUCCAUGCCUCAGGGGACUGUUAUGUUGGUUCUUCCACAGGCAGCUGUCGCCCAGGCACCUCCGUGCCAACAAACUGUGAUGUCUGUGGGGAACACCAAGUUACUGCCUUUGGCUCCUGCUCCAGUUUUUAUUGCCUCCGGCCAGAGCAGUACACCAUUAAUAGACUUUUCGCGGAGGAGGAAUUAUGUUUGCAACUUUCCUGGCUGCAGGAAAACGUAUUUCAAAAGCUCUCACCUCAAAGCCCAUCUGCGUACUCAUACUGGAGAAAAACCUUUCACCUGUAGCUGGGAAGGUUGCGAUAAAAAAUUUGCCCGUUCUGAUGAGCUUUCUCGCCACCGCAGAACCCAUACAGGGGAGAAGAAGUUUGCCUGUCCAGUCUGCGACCGCCGUUUUAUGCGUAGCGAUCACCUGACAAAACAUGCCCGUCGUCACAUGACCAAGAAGGUGCCCAGCUGGCAGACAGAAGUUGGCAAACUGAACAGAAUUGCAGCUCUAGAGAAACCAAGGAAUGAGAGUGCUCUGAGCGUGCUUCUACCAAUGUUAUCACCAGGGUAGUGGGCCAGCUUGUCAAAACAUUUUGUCACGAACUUGAGGGUUCCCAAGAUUACAGCUUUCACUGAUUUUUUAACUUAAUUUCCACAAGUUAUGCUUUUCUAUAGGGGAGGGUGGGAAAGUAUUUUCCUCUUUUUUCUACCCUCUCUCCCUGCUUCAGUGUUUGGCCUACUUAAUAUUACAUUACAUUUCUUUUCUUUUUUUUUCUUCCAGAGUUUUGGGGAGAAUCACCAGCACUUCAGAAAAGGAGAAUAUAUUUUGGGGUGGGGGGGUAGAAUAUUAGUAAUGGACUAUUCUUUGAAAAUUUAUCUUUACUUGAGUAAGAAUAAUUAAUAGAAAGUGAAGCAGGCUGACUUUGUUGUUUUCAGUUUUAUACUCGUUUUCUGUAUACUUUGUACAGAUGCAGCUGCUACAGCCUGAUCUUGCAUUUAUCCUCUGAAAGCAGUGAUAUGGGAGAUUGAAACUACCUCUCAGAAACUGUUCUUCUUGGUGAACACAGUCCAAAGUGUUUAUCAGCUUGGGUCUGAACCCUGACUUCAUACCUGAGGCACUCUGCUUUAGGAUUGCCUGCCAUGUCAUAGUUGCAGUUUAGAGCACUCUCUCCCAUACCUGGAGAUAGAUGCCUAUAGAUUGUAUUUAAAGUUGGCUUAUUCAGCUAGCUCAGGACUUACUUAGACGGGACGCCAACCAUGUGCAUCAAAGCUGAAAAGGCCUGGCCUGUGUAGGAACUCCAUAUUGAAAUGGCACUGAAUUCGUUUCCCUUGUUAUUCCAAGCUGCCCAAGGCACUGUUCCAUGUAUGUGCAGACAAAACCUGUUGGCCUGCAGAUGGAACCGUGCAUAUGACUAUCAGCUAUUUAGAUUAAUAUUUAUUAAUCAACUCACAUCAAAAUCAAAUAUUGAAUACAAAAUUUCCGGACACCAGUUACAUCACAGUUGCUGUCUUGAACAGUAUAAGCAUGAUGAUAGUGGUUACUAAAGUAAAGUUUGGACAUACUAUGAAAGAAGGAGUGACUUGUGAUAAUGCCUACUCCUUAAUAAUUGUAAUUAUUAAUAAUUGAGAAGUAGCACCUUAAUUUUAUUUUAGUAUAGCUAACUUAACAGAAUUGAGGGCCACAUCUCAUCAGCAAUAUAAAUCUGUCAGGAACUUCCAUUUCCAUAAAAGGGGGAGUUAAGUGCAUCCUUAAGUCUGCAUUUUUAAAUUUAAUAAGCACUAGGUACAUAACUUUGUUUGGAUUAUGUCCUUGAUGUAUCCAUAAUAAAAGCAAGAAGGCCAAAGUUAAAAAUGUACUCCUGCUUGCACUAUUUUUUUGUUUAUCAUCUAAAGCAGGGUUGAGGAGCCCUCAUCUAAAGAAACUAUUGAGACUUCUCAGCACCCAAUUGUUGAUUGAUCAAGAAUUUUCACAUGAGCCUUUCUUGGAAGAUGAGCAGAGCAAGUGAGGCUGUUUGAUGUGCAGUAUUCAGUCAGGUGGAUUUCUUGAUCAAAUCCAAUAUUGGCAAUUGUGCAAUGGAACUUUCCCUUCCUCUCUGCCCCUGACACUCCCCAAAAUCUGUUCUAGAGAGUUCAGGGCAAGGUUGGGUUUGGUGAGAUAAUCUGCUUCACUGAAAGAUGCUAUUCUGGGGGUGUGGGGAAGACAGGGAGGAUUCAACUGCAUGUCUUGCACUGAAGUCUCUUUUGAGUUGCAAAAGAGUUGCAGUACUUGUGCUUUUAAAAAGAGGGGGAUGGGUAUCACUUGUAGGCUCUGUCAAAGUAAUAAACAUAGACUUACUUGGAAGUGAAAAUUCUGUAUUUUAAAGCUGCCUUAAAAGUUCUUAGCCUUGGAGCAAAAAUGCUUUAUUUUUUAAAAAAAACUUUCCUUCUUGUAUCUUGAUCUAUAGCACGUUGGAUGAGUAACUGAAAUAAUAGAUAAUUGUUACUUGUCUUCUGGGGGGCACUGUGGGAAAUCAGAAUUAUUGGUCAUGAGAUACCAUCUCUGAUGACAUGCUAAAUUUUGCAUCUCAAGCUGAGAAAAUUGUUUCUGAUGAGUCUAUGAAAGCAUGAUAUACAUGUAUGUAGUAUAUCUGACAUAUCAUUACUGUCUGAAACUAGAUAGAUCUUUUAAAUUUUCUAUAUCCAUUGGUUAUUUUUGUUAAGCCAAGCUUGCAAUACUUUUAUUUAUUCUGAAGCUAUCUGAAAUAUUUCCAUGGAUGAUAUGAAUUUGCUGGAAUGAGUGUUUUAAAAACUGCAUCUGCUAUAUGUUCCAGAAUAACACCUAGGUAAUGCUAAUGUUUGGUCAUUUGUUUUAUUAACUUUAUUUUGUACCUGUAGUGGCAGCCUGAGAAAAUCAGGAGGUUACAAUUUUCCUAUCACUUCAACCUGGGGAGCAAUGCAUUUUAAAAGAGCAUGACAUCUGCCAGUUUGGUGGAGGGGGCGUAGGCAAAAUUACAUGAUUUGAAAAUCUGCCGGACUGUCUUUGUCAUGAUGCCCAUUCUAAGCAUUUAUCUGCCUAUCUGAAUUUGGAGGGACUAGUGUUCAUGAAGCAAACCAUAAGAAUCAGGCAUUUCUUUCCCUUAGAACAUAGCAGCACUUGGAUAUAUGAAUUAAGUAUUAUCUUCAGUUAAUGAAGAUAUUUCAUUUUGGCUUACACUCCCAAAUCAAGUGUAAGUUGGCUUCCUUUGAAAUGAGGUUAAACCAGGUUAUCAUGUAUAUGCAGUCCUCAGCCACGUAUGAUAGUUUGGUGCUUGAAAGCAUUUGUAUUCUUUCAAUUUGAACUAGAUAGAUGCUAGAACAGAAAGCUGGCUAGCAGGGGAUGGGUCAUAGUGACUGGGCUGCAUCUGAUUGGUCACUAGAUAUGCAAGUAGAUGAAUGUUUUAAAAAGCUGCACCUCAAUGUUUGUGUGUAUAUGUGUGUGUGUGUCUGUGUGAGUGUGUGUGUGUAUAUAUUGUGGGCAUGUCGGUGUGUGUAUAAACACACACAUACAUGCAUGUGUGUGUAUGUUUUCUUCUGUUACAUACCUUGCCAUAUUUUGAGUUUCUGAAGGAAAUCGAUAAAUGUGCAGAUCACAUAGUUGUUUCUUUCCCCCCCCCAAUUUAUGCUUAAUUAACAGAAGAGAAACAAAUAUUACCCUUGUUCAUUUUUAAAGCUUGUGAGAAAUGUAAGUGGCAUAAAUUCAGUUCAUAUAACCAGACUGCAACAGUUUGAUUAGUUUGAAACCACUUUUUUUUGGCCUCUUUUCUACAGUGCACAGGCAGGAACCCACUUUUCCCUGAUGUAAUUCCACUGAGAAGUUGACAGCCUUUCCAAACAAUUUUCUGACCUAAUUAUUGGCUAUUUGGCUAAAGAUUAUGGGAACUUUGGUUCAAUGUAGUAAAAUAUUGUGCCUAAUAUUUUAUAUGAAUAAACCUUAUUUGUUACUUUC